UUGGGAAUAUUGGACAAUGGGAGCAAUCCUGAUCCAGCUACCCCGCGUGAGUGAUGAAGGCCUUCGGGUCGUAAAGCUCUUUUAGUAGGGACGAAGGGAAACUUGACGGUACCUACAGAAAAAGCACCGGCUAACUCUGUGCCAGCAGCCGCGGUAAUACAGAGGGUGCAAGCGUUGUUCGGAAUCAUUGGGCGUAAAGCGCGUGCAGGCGGUCGCCUCAGUCUGGUGUGAAAGCCCAGGGCUUAACCCUGGAAGUGCACUGGAUACUGGGUGACUAGAGGAUAUGAGGGGAGAUUGGAAUUCAUGGUGUAGGGGUGAAAUCCGUAGAUAUCAUGAGGAACAUCAGUGGCGAAGGCGAAUCUCUGGCAUAUAUCUGACGCUGAGACGCGAAAGCGUGGGGAGCAAACAGG
rnacentral:rRNA from 1 species